rnacentral:rRNA from 1 species
CCUACGGGAGGCAGCAGUGAGGAAUAUUGGUCAAUGGGCGGGAGCCUGAACCAGCAAAGUCGCGUGAGGGAAGACGGUCCUAUGGAUUGUAAACCUCUUUAGGCGGGGAGCAAUGCCGGGCACGUGUGCCCGGAGGGAGAGUACCCGCAGAAUAAGCAUCGGCUAACUCCGUGCCAGCAGCCGCGGUAAUACGGGGGAUGCGAGCGUUAUCCGGAUUUAGUGGGUUUAAAGGGUGCGUAGGCGGAAUUUUAAGUCAGCGGUAAAAUGUCCGGGCUCAACCCGGGCCGGCCGUUGAAACUGGGGAUCUUGAGUGGGCGAGAAGUAUGCGGAAUGCGUGGUGUAGCGGUGAAAUGCAUAGAUAUCACGCAGAACUCCGAUUGCGAAGGCAGCAUACCGGCGCCCGACUGACGCUGAGGCACGAAAGCGUGGGGAUCGAACAGGAUUAGAUACCCCAGUAGUC